UACAUGGGGUGCAAACGUUGCUCGGAAUUAUUGGGCGUAAAGCGCGCGUAGGUGGUCGCUUAAGUCGGAUGUGAAAGCCCUCGGCUCAACUGAGGAAGUGCAUCCGAAACUGAGUGGCUUGAGUAUGGAAGAGGGUCGCGGAAUUCCCGGUGUAGAGGUGAAAUUCGUAGAUAUCGGGAGGAACACCGGUGGCGAAGGCGGCGACCUGGGCCAAUACUGACACUGAGGUGCGAAAGCGUGGGGAGCAAACAGG
rnacentral:rRNA from 1 species